AUUGAACGCUGGCGGCAGGCCUAACACAUGCAAGUCGAGCGAGCGGCGGACGGGUGAGUAAUGUAUGGGGACUGCCCGAUAGAGGGGGAUAACUACUGGAAACGGUGGCUAAUCCCGCAUACUAUCGGAUAACCCAUAUGGGAUAAGCUAGUAGGAGGGGUAAAGGCUCACCUAGGCGACGAUUUCUAGCUGGUCUGAGAGGAUGAUCAGCCACACUGGGACUGUGACACGGCCCAGACUCUUACGGAGGCAGCAGUGGUGAUUAUUGCACAAGGGGCGCAAGCCUGAUGCAGCCAUGCCGGUUGUAUGAAGAAGGCCUUAGGGUUGUAAAGUACUUUCAGCGGGGAGGCGUUACCCGCAGAAGAAGCACCGGCUGACUCCGUGCCAGCCGCCGCGGUAAUUC
rnacentral:rRNA from 1 species